UACGAAGGGGGCUAGCGUUGCUCGGAAUCACUGGGCGUAAAGCGCACGUAGGCGGCUUUCUAAGUCAGGGGUGAAAUCCUGGAGCUCAACUCCAGAACUGCCUUUGAUACUGGGAAGCUCGAGUCCGGAAGAGGUGAGUGGAACUCCGAGUGUAGAGGUGAAAUUCGUAGAUAUUCGGAAGAACACCAGUGGCGAAGGCGGCUCACUGGUCCGGUACUGACGCUGAGGUGCGAAAGCGUGGGAGCAAACAGG
rnacentral:rRNA from 1 species